UAAAGCUGGCCCUGCUCUGGGGUCACCAGAAAUGUGUGAUAUCAGAAUGGGGAUACAACCCAAUAAAGGUUGGGAACCACUACGUCAUCCACACGAGACAAAAACAAAUACGUUACUUUAAAAAAAAAAAAGAGCAUUAUUUAAAUUCACGUUUUCCAUCUCUCACCCUAUAUAAGCGGUUAGAAAGAAAACAAACUGUUUUCCAGCAGUUGUAUCUGCAGUGCGCUGUGCAGUCUGCAAGGAAAACUCUGUCAGGAAUCGUCAGCGACCCUUUCUCGACAUUAUCAACAAGGAAUUCACAUAUUAACAACCCCUGCUCUCAAAAUGAGGACACCAUUAUCCAUGGUGAUGGAACCUUUGGUGAAGGAGGAGGAGGAGGAGUUGAAGCAUCUCCUACCUGAGAUCACCGAUAUUGUGCAGGUCUAUCCAGAGGUUGCAGGACUGGUGCACUGGGCGACUUACCCUGUGACAUCAUCUACUCAUGUUUGUAGAUGUCCUCCUCCACCAUUAACAGACCUCAAAUUUUACAGCAGUCCAUUCUUCCCACCUGAGUGUUUUCCUUCUUUUGAAGAACGAGAUGAGUUGGAUGAGUUAUUGGCUAUCAUGCCACCAGAGGCCCUGGAACCCGUCCCAGUUCCAAAGAAAAGAAAACACGAGAAGGAUAAGGGGACGUAUGUAAAGAAACCUCCCAACGCAUUUAUGCUGUUCUUAAAAAGCGAGAGGAAGACAGUCCAGGAAGAGCUCGGCAUUAAGAACAGUGCUGCAGUCAAUCGAGUUCUUUCUGAACGCUGGAAGUCUUUGGCUGAAGACAAAAGGCAGAUCUUCCAAGCUGAAGCCCAAGUGGAAGCUCAUAUACACGCUCUCAAUAACCCAGGCUGGAGCAACAAAGUGAAUUACGGGACAAAGAGUAAGAAAUCACGAACCAAAGCUCCACGUCUGCCUCCACCCUCCUACUGAUGGGAUUGUAUAACAAACAUUACUAACAUACUAACGGUAAGUAUCUUUACUCAAAACAUCACUUCAUUUUAUGUUGAUUUUAUUUCAAAAUAGAUUUUCCACAAAUGUGAAAUCAAGUCAC
rnacentral:lncRNA from 1 species